rnacentral:rRNA from 1 species
UACGGGGGGGGCAAGCGUUGUUCGGAAUUACUGGGCGUAAAGGGCGCGUAGGCGGUUUGCUAAGUUGGAUGUGAAAACUCUGGGCUUAACCCAGAGCCUGCAUCCAAAACUGGCAAACUUGAGUACUGGAGGGGAAAGCGGAAUUCCUGGUGUAGCGGUGAAAUGCGUAGAUAUCAGGAGGAAUACCGAUGGCGAAGGCAGGUCUCUGGGCUGACACUGACGCUCAUGCACGAAAGCGUGGGGAGCAAACAGG